CCGUUUCUUCAAAUGGCUUAAUUUUGCUCUGGAAUUUCAGGCAUCAAGCCUAGUUCCCAUGGCAAAACCAAUGUGGUAACAGCUCUUUGGAAGGAUCCUGUGGCAAUUCACCCUGGUUGUACAGCAUCGUUAACACCGCCAUAACUGUUAGUCAUUUGUUUCACAGACUGUUAUUGUAUAUUAAGUGUUGGUAGAAUCAUUUGUUCCAGACAAAAUAGAUAGCCUGUAAUUUCCCAUCUUUUGGGCUACUUUAUGUCUUCCAGUUCGCACAAACUGUUCAAUUCACUACUUUCUGCAUAGGCAGGUUUUAACAGUCAUUUUUCUCUAAAUGCAAAUGCUGGAUUCAGAUCUUAUCUCUCUCUUUCUUUGUUUUGCUUAUAUAAGAUAUAUUGUUCUGCCAUUUUAUGGGCUUGAAAUUUGCCCAUCAGUUCAAGAAUUGAACAUGUUCAAGGUUUUAUGGAUCAAGAAACACAAUCUCUCAAGUAUGGAUAAACUACUUGAAAGUAAGAGUUCUCUUUAGUGAAUGUUCAUUUUGUCCUUUUCAAAUGCCCUUCUAGGAUGACCCGUACUUAAAAAGCCCUUUAUACAAGGAAGCACUAACAGGGUUGGGCAUUCAAUGGAAUUCCCGUUGGCUACUGUAUUCGUGGCAUCCACCACCACCACCACCACCACCAUGAGUUUGAAGCUUCUAGUAGAUGCUAAAGGGAGGAGGGUUCUGUAUGCCAAAGCUACUAUUGUAAGGGUCUGGAGUUAAUCAAGGCAUCGCCUACAGUCCAAGCCUCUGCCAGCUGAUGUAUUGUUUAAUUGAUUUCAUAUUUUAGAUGUCUCUUGAACUGUUUUGAACUCAAAUGGUUCCUGUUAUUAUGUUGCUUUGAACGAAAAGGCAAACAAGGUUUUCGAAAACCAUUUUCAUUAUAUAAAUUCGGCCACGGAAAUGAUAAUUUCGGGAAGAAAUACUUCAACGAGGGAGAAAUUCAUUGUGUAGAGUUUAGAGGGUACUGUGUUUUAUGAAGAUAACGCAUGAAAAAUAAGGGGAAAUGAGGUUGGUGAAGUGUGUGAAUUGGCAGAAGAACCGUAGAAGCUAGAGAUGAGUAGACUCCCACAUGAGUAAGAAACAUAAAGCAGCGCCCAACAGAUUAAUAUAAAUAAAAGCGCAGGCGAAGGAUAAAAGUACGGAGCCGUGCGGUGAGUACAGAGCGAACUAUUCUUUCGCCUUUUACUAAAGAAUACCGUGUGCUCGCCGCCCAAAGCGGUAUACGCCAGUUUUUGGAAGGUUGGUCCUUUUUUGGAACGCCUCACUAAUUUCUAGUCUUGAAACAUUAUUUAUUUAUUUAUUUAUUGUAUUUAUGAAAUUUUCUCUUGGACGAAAUAUUUGAAACUUUGAAUUUUGUGUGUUUUAA